rnacentral:rRNA from 1 species
ACUCCUUCUAAAGCUAAAUAUCACCACGAGACCGAUAGCGAACAAGUACCGUGAGGGAAAGUUGAAAAGCACUCUGAAUAGAGAGUCAAAAAGUACGUGAAACUGCCUAGGGCUCAAGCCCGUUGAACUCGAUUAUCCGAUGCGGAGACAUUCACCUGCGGUCGGUCGGCCCCCUUAAGCCGGGGUCGGUCAGCCGCAGGGCACUUGUCUACUCGCGCUAGCCAAGAGGACAYUGCGAUCCAUUACGAAACAGCUUUCGCGUCSCAAGACGCAAGGUCGCCCGACAGUUGCCCCCUGGUGCUGGUUGCUUGCCCCACAGUAGCGACGCUCAGUUCUGAAGGSCUGUGCCGCGAGGUGGGGCUUACUGCACGUGGUGUUUUACUGCARUCGGGCGCGUGAUGGAUUCCCCCGGCCACCGGGUGGUCGUCCCGCAAGGGACUGGCCCAACCCCGGACUGGCGAUCGGCAGUGAAAGAAUCGAGGUACCUUCGGGACCCGUCUUGAAACACGGACCAAGAAGUCUAUCUUGCGCGCAAGCCAAUGGUCGUCCUCCGGAGCACCAAAGGCGCAGAAAACAUAACUUGAGUUGUGCGGGAUUACGGGCGCGGCUCUCUGCUCGUCCCUCCAUCCCCGGGUGUUGUAAUCGGCAUGCGGCUACCGGGACCAACGGCCGCAAGGCCCCCCGGCACCGUGCCACAACAUACCGUGAGUGUGCAGGAUGUGACCCGAAAGAUGGUGAACUAUGCCUGAUCAGGUUGAAGUCAGGGGAAACCCUGAUGGAGGACCGAAGCAGUUCUGACGU